UACAGAGGUCUCAACCGUUGUUCGGAUUCAUUGGGCGUAAAGGGUGCGUAGGCGGUCGUGCAAGUCGGAUGUGAAAUCUCAGGGCUCAACCCUGAAACUGCAUUCGAUACUGCGUGGCUAGAGUGCUGGAGAGGAGACUGGAAUUUACGGUGAGCAGUGAAAUGCGUAGAUAUCGUAAGGAAGACCAGUGGCGAAGGCGAGUCUCUGGACAGCAACUGACGCUGAGGCACGAAGGCCAGGGGAGCAAACGGG
rnacentral:rRNA from 1 species